AAUUGACAUUUAUGCAGACACACCAUAUCCCAUAUAUUCAAACGAGUAAUAUGCCAGAUAAAGAGAGAAGUUUAGCGAAAUGACAGUUAAAGGGAUGUCAAAAGGUACGAUACAUUAUGCAACAGAAAUAUCAUCAUACAUAUUAAAGAUGAUGCUCUAAACCUUAUUUGAAUUUUAUUUUAUCUUUUACUGACCUUCAUGCGAAACCAUUACAACAUAUAUCCAUUGAGAGUAGAAAGGAUCCCCAACUACC
rnacentral:lncRNA from 1 species